rnacentral:siRNA from 1 species
CUUUGUUAAUGACCAGGAAGUGU